GAAAUGCGAUACGUAGUGUGAAUUGCAGAAUUCAGUGAAUCAUCGAAUCUUUGAACGCACAUUGCGCCCUUUGGUAUUCCAAAGGGCAUGCCUGUUCGAGCGUCAUUUGUACCCUCAAGCUUUGCUUGGUGUUGGGCGUUUUUUGUCUUUGGCUCGCCCAAAGACUCGCCUUAAAACGAUUGGCAGCCGGCCUACUGGUUUCGCAGCGCAGCACAUUUUUGUGCUUGCAAUCAGCAAAAGAGGACGGCAAUCCAUCAAGACUCCUUCUCACGUUUGACCUCGGAUCAGGUAGGGAUACCCGCUGAACUUAAGC
rnacentral:misc_RNA from 1 species